rnacentral:rRNA from 1 species
UACGUAGGGUGCUAGCGUUGUCCGGAUUUAUUGGGCGUAAAGGGCUCGUAGGCGGCGCGUCGCGUCGGGAGUGAAAGCCCGCUGCUUAACGGCGGGUUGGCUUCCGGUACGGGCAUCGCUGGAGUGCGGCAGGGGAGACUGGAAUUCCUGGUGUAGCGGUGGAAUGCGCAGAUAUCAGGAGGAACACCGGUGGCGAAGGCGGGUCUCUGGGCCGUUACUGACGCUGAGGAGCGAAAGCGUGGGGAGCGAACAGG